UUAGUUCAUUUAGCUUUAUUUGCCAAAAAGGUGAAUAAUAAUUAUUAAAUUUUACGAACUAGCUAGUAAAUUUCAAAACUUUUAGAGGGUCUUGAACGGUGACUUAUAAAUUUAGAUUAUUCGUAACUCGAUCACCUUGGUGGGCGAUCUUAGGACGCGUGAAUUAACCUUUAUGAUUCGAAACUUAUCGCGUUCUAGCGCGAGUCGCUUCUGAAAAAGGUACGAACGAACACUUCUGCUGUGUUUUACAAAAACAAAUAAAUUCUAAUUUUUUUGACUAAAACUAUUUAAUUUUAAAAAUGAAAAGUUGAAGAAGUAUCACUAAAAAUAAAAGAGACUAUUU
rnacentral:lncRNA from 1 species